GACGAACGCUGGCGGCGUGCUUAACACAUGCAAGCCGAACGAUGAACUUGGAGCUUGCUCUGGGGGAUUAGUGGCGAACGGGUGAGUAACACGUGAGUAACCUGCCCUGGACUCUGGGAUAACUUCGAGAAAUCGGAGCUAAUACCGGAUAGGACCUUGCACCGCAUGGUGUGGGGUGGAAAGUGUUUCGGUCUGGGAUGGGCUCGGGGCCUAUCAGCUUGUUGGUGAGGUAGUGGCUCACCAAGGGGACGACGGGUAGCCGGCCUGAGAGGGCGGCCGGCCACACUGGGACUGAGACACGGCCCAGACUCCUACGGGAGGCAGCAGUGGGGAAUAUUGCACAAUGGGCGAAAGCCUGAUGCAGCGACGCCGCGUGAGGGAUGACGGCCUUCGGGUUGUAAACCUCUUUCAGCAGGGAAGAAGCGGAAGUGACGGUACCUGCAGAAGAAGCACCGGCUAACUACGUGCCAGCCGCCGCAGUAAAAC
rnacentral:rRNA from 1 species